ACUUGGUGACGUGGUCAUUUAUGCAAAAGGUCUUUAAAGCACUCCUAUGUCUCAAAAAUUGCUCACCAUCUAUCUGUGAGAAAAUGGUGAUUGCCUUCCUAAUCU